rnacentral:rRNA from 1 species
GCAAGUCGAACGGUAGCAGGUCUUCGGAUGCUGACGAGUGGCGGACGGGUGCGUAACGCGUAGGAAUCUGCCUAUUAGUGGGGGACAACUUAGGGAAACUUAAGCUAAUACCGCAUACGCCCUACGGGGGAAAGGAGGGGACCUUCGGGCCUUUCGCUAAUAGAUGAGCCUGCGUUGGAUUAGCUAGUUGGUGGGGUAAAGGCCUACCAAGGCGACGAUCCAUAGCUGGUCUGAGAGGACGAUCAGCCACACUGGGACUGAGACACGGCCCAGACUCCUACGGGAGGCAGCAGUGGGGAAUAUUGGACAAUGGGCGAAAGCCUGAUCCAGCAAUACCGCGUGUGUGAAGAAGGCCUUAGGGUUGUAAAGCACUUUCAAUUGGGAGGAAAACCUAUCGGUCAAUACCCGGUAGCUUGACAUUACCUUUAGAAGAAGCACCGGCUAACUCCGUGCCAGCAGCCGCGGUAAUACGGAGGGUGCGAGCGUUAAUCGGAAUUACUGGGCGUAAAGCGUGCGUAGGCGGUUCGUUAAGUCAGAUGUGAAAGCCCUGGGCUCAACCUGGGAACUGCAUUUGAAACUGGCGGACUAGAGUUUAGUAGAGGGGAGUGGAAUUUCAGGUGUAGCGGUGAAAUGCGUAGAUAUCUGAAGGAACACCAGUGGCGAAGGCGACUCCCUGGACUAGAACUGACGCUGAGGUACGAAAGCGUGGGUAGCAAACAGGAUUAGAUACCCUGGUAGUCCACGCCGUAAACGAUGUCGACUAGCCGUUGGCCCUAUUUACAGGG